rnacentral:antisense_RNA from 1 species
GGGGCGCGCCCGGCGCGGCGCGGAGCAGGCCAGCCCCCCACUGCUGCCUGCGAAUGGGCGAGAUUAGUUUGUUAAUAACCUUUGUUCCUCUCCUCCUCCUCCUCCCUCACCCAAAAAUAGAAAGAAAGUGGGGAGGUCAAGUAUCACAAAACGACCCCCGCGAGAAAACAAGUGUCUCCUUGGGCACCCUGAAACGUACACUUGAAAGAGUCGCCUGAAUGUAGACUCUUGAGUGUCCAAGGAAUUGGGGUAAGGACGGAAAGAGGUGCUUGAUUGGUGUUGCCAAAAUGUCAAAACUGCAAAAGACUAAGCUUCCUGGAGUGCUGCUUUCAUACUUAAAGUUAUUUAUCGUGUUUAUGUUAUGAAUGAAAAUGAAUUGUGAAAGGAUAUUUAAUCUGGAAAUUUCACAUUGAAGUUGGAUUUCGGUGAGGGAGAAUAGAGGAAACAGUAAUUGGGACAAUGUGGAGAUGGUUGCUUGGAUUUUGGUGAGACAGCAUGCUACAAGAAACAAAUGAUGUCAGAGUUCAAAACUUUUUCAAGCCAGCCUCGGCAUUCCGUUUUGUUAUGUUUAAAUUCUCAUUAGCAAAAAGACUCAAAUUCUAUCCAAAACCAGACACAAUGUGACAGACCUAUCAAGCAGCAUUGUUCCCCUAAAUGUUACAUCUAAACUAUACAUAUAAGUAAGGCUUCCAAUAUUUUAUUGUACUUGGCUGUGCUCUGAAGAACAAGUUAGAACACUUUUUAAAAUCUUAACCUGAUUGAAAAGAAUAUUUUGCAUAGACAACAUAUUUUAAGGACGGAAUUAUUUUUCAUUUGAAAUUAAAAUCAAGAGCAUAGUAAAAUUCCUAAUGGAAGCAUUCGAAUUACAAGGUAAUUAAGUGCAUUGUCAUUGAUAGCUACAGGAAACCAUAACUUUUGGAGAAUUUGGAAUGAAGAAUGCUCUGGAGAUGAAAUAGUGCCUAGUUUUUGUCCAGGCAUUUACACAUAAGUCAUAGACUACUAAAAUAGCACACUGAUUUUCCUGCCUUCAUUCUUUCCUAUCUCCUUUCUAGCUCAUUGCUCUAGAUUUACAAUUCCAGGACAUCUUCUAAUGGUUUACUAAUAUCCCCAAGAUCAAAUCCAAAAUCCAGACUAGCUUUCCAGAACCAUCAUAAUAUUCUCCUGAGUCUCAUAUAUGUACUGCCAAAUGUCAGGGGAGUUAGAACAGUAAUAUUAAUAUCUUUGGCUUGAAAUUUCACUACUAGAAAAUCUUUUCUUUGAACCUAUAAGAAUUUCUCAGCCUUCAAGGGUCCCAUAGUAGGAUGCAGCUAACAGUUUAAUGGCUCUCCAAAAUAGGCCAGAGUCUCGCUGCCUGUGUGGAAGAUGAAAAAGAGAAUGAAUGAAGAAGGCACCUAAGAAGAGGCAUUGAAAGGGCUGGUCAAGUGCCACAAAAUAUGCUGCCUUCAAAGUUUUAUCCAGGGUUCUUAUGUACCCACCCUGUUCCUCUGCUGCUCCCAGCUUCAAUUCUAUCAUAUCUAAGUGCUGUUGCCUACUCUGUCUUUGCUUCUUAAUUCAUUCCUGUUCUUUCUAUCCACUUCCUUCAUGACUUUCAAAAUCUAGCUAAGCCAGAACUUUUUGACUCCACCAUUCCACCACUCCUGAUCACACCCCUCCCACAGGGAUCUGAUAUACAACAGCAUGUCUACGUCAUUUAUUUGGGGACUGGAUUGUACAGUAAAUAAUAUGAUUGGCCCUGGAAGGUAUGUUUGGCUUACCAGACAGAUUGUAAAUUGUGAGAGAUGAUAGAACAUUCUUCAGUAUUCUUGCACCCCUUAUACACUUUUAAAUGCUGAUCCCACAAGGGAUAAUGGGUCUUCUUGAGGUAGUUUCUGUUUUUUGUGUUCUUCAAAGAGACACCUAAAUUGAUUAUUUUAAAAUUUGCUUCUUGUUAUUUCUAUAAUGCUUAUAUUUUAUUUAGGUUUGCAGUUGUUUAAAUACACUUUCAGAUGACAACAACAAAGAAUUCUUGUGAAAGGCAAUAAUUAACCAUAGUUUUAAAAAAAUCAAACAACCAGAGUCAAGUAAUAAGGAGGAAAAAAUACCAAACAAAGUAGAGUAUAUACAUUAUUCAGUUUCCAGUAGCACAAAUGUGUGUUUUCUUCUACAUGGCAUUUUUUAAUGAAAUAUGUUGAGGGUAUAGAAGUAAUAGAGAAGGAAAUCCUUGAAGUAGUAUGCUAUUGCCUUGAAAAGUAAGGUUUUUUCAUUGUAUUCUCAACUUUUACAGAUGUUUUAAAAUGCCCAAGGUAUUUCAUUUAUUCGAUAAUGAAUACUACACAUGAAGAAAGUCUGCAUGUUUGCUUCUUCAAGGAUUUUUUCCCAAACAAGUACUAUGUUGUACACCAACUGCAAAUAUACAUUUCAAAGCUCUACAUAAAGAGUAUUGUCUGGGCCAGGCAUGGUGGCUUACACCUGUAAUCCCAGCACUUUGGGAGGCUGAGGCAGGGCAGAUCACCUGAGGUCGGGAGUUUGAGACCAACCUGACCAACAUGGAGAAACCCUGUCUCUACUAAAAAUACAAAAUUAGCCGUGCAUGGUGGUGAAUGCCUGUAAUUCCAGUGACUCGGGAAGCUAAGGCAGGAGAAUAGCUUGAACCCAGGAGGCGGAGGUUGUGGUGAGCUGAGAUUGUGCCAUUGCACUCCAGCCUGGGCAAAAAGAGUGAAACUCUGUCUCAAAAAAAAAAAAAAAGAGUAUUGUCUGAAUCAAUGAUGCUUGCAAGGUAGAAAAAGAAAGAAAUGUAUAUUAAAUGUGGAUAAUUCCAUCCAGCGUGACAUAGUGGAAGCAACGUGGUCUUUGGUGUUAGACUGAAGUUUGAAAUGUUUCCCUCUUUUUCUAGCUGUAUGGUACAAGGCAAGACAGCUAAUAUCCCUAGGCCAUGACUUUUCUCAUCUUUGAAAUAGCAAUCAUGAUAACUACCUUCCCAAAUUGAUGUGAAUCUCACAUGAAAUAAUGUGGGUGCUCAGUGUAGCUAUUAGAAUGAUUAUAUUGCAGAAAGCAAAAAUAAAUCAAUUUCAUAUGGGGGAAUAAUUCUCAUAUUAGCAAAUAGCAUUUAUCAUCAUGCUUAUGCAGCUGUAUUUUAAAAUUGGCAUAAGUUCAGGCAAGGAUAGAAAACAUAUACUUUGGUUAAAUCAGGCAGUUUUAUAUGGGAAAGCAUAAAUCAUAAGGGAAACAUUGUUCUUGGUUUAAUUAGAUAUUUAAAAUUACAAAACAAGAUUUACUAUUGGGUAGGCUAAGCCAUUUUGGUUCUAGUUAUGGUAUUGUUUCUUUAAUAAUAUUUAUAUACUCAAAAAUUGUAUUUUGUGCAUCAAAAUCUUAAUUAUUUAGAAUCUGAUUAGGGAGUGGUAGAGUUGCAGUUAUUUCUUCAAAUUCUCAUCUUUCAUUAAGACAAAAGGGGGCUCAGAGGUAUAAGGUUAAGUAGAAUAUCAGGUUAAAUUAACAAAGUAGCAUUUUAUAUUUUGAUAGUAUUGCCUGGAGAAAAAAAUUCUAUAUAAAAUAAGAAUGAAAAACACUGCAUAUUAUACCCCCUCCUCUUCCUCCACCCCAGCCCAGUCACAAUGAAUGUUAAAGACUUGAGACAUCUUCAAAACUUGUUUUUUAAAACUGUUUAAUUUUUUAAACCCAAUAGUUCUAAAAUUUAUUUCAACAGUAAAUCUUUUUGGCCCCUCAAUAUAUCCAUUAACAUUUCCAGGGAUACCAGUGAAACAAUUUGCAAUAGCAUAAAAGAGAAUAAAAGAAAAAAUAUUAAUAAAUAAGAGUAAACACUUCAAAAA